CACCCCCACCGCUAGGCUUUGUGGUUUUCCCUUUGUCAUCCUAUGCCUGGGAGAUUCUCUGGAGGCUGGGAUAGUAAAGGGAAGCUCACGUAGCUAUGGGCCC